rnacentral:rRNA from 1 species
AUACGAAGGUCCCAAGCGUUAUUCGGAAUCACUGGGCGUAAAGAGUACGUAGGCGGUUUGGUAAGUCAGGUGUGAAAUCCCGAAGCUCAACUUCGGAACUGCAUCCGAUACUGCCAGACUUGAGUAAUGGAGAGGCAGGUGGAAUUCUCGGUGUAGCAGUGAAAUGCGUGGAUAUCGAGAGGAAGACCAAUGGCGAAGGCAGCCUGCUGGACAUUUACUGACGCUGAGGUACGAAGGCUAGGGUAGCGAAAGGGAUUAGAAACCCCGGUAGUCC